GAGGGUCCUAAACAGAAAGUAAAUUCUCAUUUUUCAGGAGGGUCCUGAACAGAAAGUAAAACAGAAAGUAAAAUCCCAUUUUUCAGGAGGGUCCUGAGCAGAAAGUAAAAUCCCAUUUUCCAGGAAGGUCCUGAGCAGAAAAUAAAGACUCAUUUUUCAGGAGGGUCCUGAGCAUAAAGUAAAAUCCCAUUUUUCAGGAGGGUCCUGAACAGAAAGUAAAAUCUCAUUUUUCAGGAGGGUCCUAAGCAGAAAAUAAAGUCCCAUUUUUCAGGAGGGUCCUGAGCAGAAAGUAAAAUCUCAUUUUUCAGGAGGGUCCUGAGCAGAAAAAAUAAAGUUCCAUUUUUCAGGAUGGUCCUGAACAGAAAGUAAAAUCUCAUUUUUCAAGAGGGUUUCGAACAGAAAGUAAAGUCCCAUUUUUCAGGAGGAUCCUAAACAUAAAGUAAAAUUUCAUUUUUCAAGUGGGUCCUGAGUAGAAGACAAAGUCCCAUUUUUCAGGAGGGUCCUGAGCAUAAAGUAGAACCCCUUUUUUCAGGAGGGUCCUGAACAGAAAGUAAAAUCUCAUUUUUCAGGAGGGUCAUGAACAGAAAGUAAAUUUCCAUUUUUCAGGAGGCUCCUGAACAGAAAGUAAAGUCCCAUUUUUCAGGAGGGUCCUGAAUUGAAAGUAAAAUCCCAUUUUUCAGGAGGGUCCUGAGCAGAAAGUAAAAUCCCAUUUUUCAGGAGGGUCCUGAACAGAAAGUAAAAUCUUAUUUUUCAGGAGGGUCCUGAGCGGAAAAUAAAUUUCCAUUUUUUAGGAGGGUUCUGAGCAUAAAGUAAAAUCCCAUUUUUUAGGAGGGUCCUGAACAUAAAGUAAAAUCCCAUUUUUCAGGAGGGUCCUAAACAGAAAGUAAAUUCCCAUUUUUCAGAAGGGUCCUGAACAGAAAGUAAAGUCCUAUUUUUCAGGAGGGUCCUGAGUAGAAAGUAAAAUCCCAUUUUUCAGAAGGGUCCUAAGCAGAAAAUAAAGUCCCAUUUUUCAGGAGGGUCCUGAGCAAAAAGUAAAAUCCCACGGAUGUGCAUUUCCAAUGGUAGCUGAAUUAAGUGAAGCGAAUUUGCCCCUAUUUCAACAAAGAAAAUUUGUCAGUUAAAAACUUAGUGGUGGCUUGCAGCUCUUGGCUUCUCAGGUAUUUGCCCCAGCACUCCUUCCUUUUAUCUUUGUUCCAAAUCGCUGACACUUGCCCUGUCUUACCGCAUCAUUGACCUGGACCCAGAUUGAGAGAAAUGAGUUCUGACUCGAACAAUGGGUUUCCAUUUUACCAUGCCUCUGAGGUGCACCCUUUUCCCAAAUUUGAAUGCUUCCACGAAUCCAACAGCCUGUUGGUGGAUAGACUUCCUUUACUUUGCGUUGAAUUACGAUCAUAUUUCUUUCAUGUGCUGGUCCUUGGUUUUUCCUCAUAUAAUUGGAAAGACUAGUAGUAAAUUUUGAAAUCCUUUCUCGCUUGUUUUGACACAGACUUGACUUAAAAUGUAAAGAAAUGAUGGUGACUUUUAUAUUGAUAAAUGACAUAAAAAGACAAAAAGCUUGAAUAUGUAAAUGAAAGAAAAGGGCAACGUCCCAUAUUAAAAAAAAAACCUUAUCUGAAUACGGUAACCCACUCCAAUGAGUAUGACAUGCCUUUUGGAUUACGCUGCCUGAUCUUCCUAUCUAAACUCCCCAUUUGUUGUUGAGUUCGUGCCUUUGCCGCUGAGCCUCUUCUUCAAAUCCAUUGGACUCAUACAUCACAUUCAAUUGACGACAUCUUAAAAGACUUUCGCCUACAUAUCUCUUUCUUUUCGCUUUUUACUUUUCUCUUGAACUCGCCAUCGCCUUACGGUGCCCGUGAGGGUUUUCACCAGUAAGACUCUCUUAUUUUUAUUUCUCUCCACUCACCAUCGCCUUUUGGUGCCUGCGAGGUUUUUCACCAAUAAGACUCUCUCAUUUUCAUUUCUCUCAACUCACCAUCGCCUUAUGAUGCCCACGGGGGUUUUCACCAAUAAGACUCUCAUUUUGUAUUUCUUUCUUGAUUUCUUAUGUUGAGGGAGACACGUGGUACCUCACAAUGUAUCAUCAUAUCCGUUGCAUGCUUAGCCUUAACAUUAUCAAAAAUUGAUCUGAAGGACUUUCUUUNNNNN
rnacentral:lncRNA from 1 species